rnacentral:rRNA from 1 species
CACUGGUGGAUUAGUGGCGAACGGGUGAGUAACACGUGAGUAACCUGCCCCUGACUUCGGGAUAAGCCCGGGAAACUGGGUCUAAUACCGGAUAUGACUUCCUGCUGCAUGGCAGGGGGUGGAAAGAUUUAUUGGUUGGGGAUGGACUCGCGGCCUAUCAGCUUGUUGGUGAGGUAAUGGCUCACCAAGGCGACGACGGGUAGCCGGCCUGAGAGGGUGACCGGCCACACUGGGACUGAGACACGGCCCAGACUCCUACGGGAGGCAGCAGUGGGGAAUAUUGCACAAUGGGCGAAAGCCUGAUGCAGCGACGCCGCGUGAGGGAUGACGGCCUUCGGGUUGUAAACCUCUUUCAGUAGGGAAGAAGCCCC